GCUUAGUGGUGGGGUGACUGCGUACCUUUUGUAUAAUGGGUCAGCGACUUAUAUUCUGUAGCAAGGUUAACCGAAUAGGGGAGCCGGAGGGAAACCGAGUCUUAAUUGGGCGUUAAGUUGCAGGGUAUAGACCCGAAACCCGGUGAUCUAGCCAUGGGCAGGUUGAAGGUUGGGUAACACUAACUGGAGGACCGAACCGACUAAUGUUGAAAAAUUAGCGGAUGACCUGUGGCUGGGGGUGAAAGGCCAAUCAAACCGGGAGAUAGCUGGUUCUCCCCGAAAGCUAUUUAGGUAGCGCCUCGUGAAUUCAUCUCCGGGGGUAGAGCACUGUUUCGGCUAGGGGGCCAUCCCGGCUUACCAACCCGAUGCAAACUGCGAAUACCGGAGAAUGUUAUCACGGGAGACACACGGCGGGUGCUAACGUCCGUCGUGAAGAGGGAAACAACCCAGACCGCCAGCUAAGGUCCCAAAGUCAUGGUUAAGUGGGAAACGAUGUGGGAAGGCCCAGACAGCCAGGAUGUUGGCUUAGAAGCAGCCAUCAUUUAAAGAAAGCGUAAUAGCUCACUGGUCGAGUCGGCCUGCGCGGAAGAUGUAACGGGGCUAAACCAUGCACCGAAGCUGCGGCAGCGACGCUGAUGCGUUGUUGGGUAGGGGAGCGUUCUGUAAGCCUGUGAAGGUGGCCUGUGAGGGUUGCUGGAGGUAUCAGAAGUGCGAAUGCUGACAUAAGUAACGAUAAAGCGGGUGAAAAGCCCGCUCGCCGGAAGACCAAGGGUUCCUGUCCAACGUUAAUCGGGGCAGGGUGAGUCGACCCCUAAGGCGAGGCCGAAAGGCGUAGUCGAUGGGAAACGGGUUAAUAUUCCCGUACUUGGUGUUACUGCGAAGGGGGGACGGAGAAGGCUAUGUUGGCCGGGCGACGGUUGUCCCGGUUUAAGCGUGUAGGUGUGUGUUCCAGGUAAAUCCGGUUCACUUUAACACUGAGGCGUGAUGACGAGGCACUACGGUGCUGAAGCAACAAAUGCCCUGCUUCCAGGAAAAGCCUCUAAGCAUCAGGUAACAUCAAAUCGUACCCCAAACCGACACAGGUGGUCAGGUAGAGAAUACCAAGGCGCUUGAGAGAACUCGGGUGAAGGAACUAGGCAAAAUGGUGCCGUAACUUCGGGAGAAGGCACGCUGACACGUAGGUGAAGUGAUUUACUCAUGGAGCUGAAGUCAGUCGAAGAUACCAGCUGGCUGCAACUGUUUAUUAAAAACACAGCACUGUGCAAACACGAAAGUGGACGUAUACGGUGUGACGCCUGCCCGGUGCCGGAAGGUUAAUUGAUGGGGUCAGCGCAAGCGAAGCUCCUGAUCGAAGCCCCGGUAAACGGCGGCCGUAACUAUAACGGUCCUAAGGUAGCGAAAUUCCUUGUCGGGUAAGUUCCGACCUGCACGAAUGGCGUAAUGAUGGCCAGGCUGUCUCCACCCGAGACUCAGUGAAAUUGAACUCGCUGUGAAGAUGCAGUGUACCCGCGGCAAGACGGAAAGACCCCGUGAACCUUUACUAUAGCUUGACACUGAACAUUGAGCCUUGAUGUGUAGGAUAGGUGGGAGGCUUUGAAGUGUGGACGCCAGUCUGCAUGGAGCCGGCCUUGAAAUACCACCCUUUAAUGUUU
rnacentral:rRNA from 1 species